AAUGGAGGCUAUUGUGGAAAAUCAAGAUGAAUUGCUAGAUGAUAGUGAGGUCAAUGUGGAAAAUGAUAGUCAAAAA